GAGAGAAAUCUGAUCGAGACAGACGGCUGCAGAACAAGAUGAGCACCAACCUGACUGCAGCCAAAGACCGACUGCAGUCUUUAGUCAGCGGGCUCUCAGGAUCCGGGGCUCAGACAUACAUUUACACUGAUGGCACUAACCCCGUCUACCACGCUUCCCACCUGCACUCAGGUGGCGCUGUCUCCAGAAAGAGAGACUCUGUGAAUCCGGCAUCGGCCAGCCGACCAAAGCUCUUUCCAAAGACGUCCUGUUCUUCCUCCUCCUCUUCCUCUGGGGGCCUCCAUCGCUGCUCCACCCUCAGCUCCCGGCGCCCCCUGCAGGGCAGAAUGAGUCGUCACAGCGGGAGAGCCGGCUCCCCGACACUGCUGAAGAAGAAAGACUCAAAGAACCUGAAGAACGUGGACGGGAAGCUCGCCGAACUCAUCCUCAGCGAGGUCGUCGACAGGUGAGUUGUUAAUGUGAAUGAUCGCAGCAGUGUUGUUCUCCACAUUGAGACUAUAGACCUCCGCCCAGAAGGGACUAUAGACCUCCGCCCAGAAGGGACUAUAGACCUCCGCCCAGAAGGGACUAUUCAUGAAUAUUACCUGACGUCACUCACAUUCUAACGUGUCUACCGCCAUGUCCAGUACGUGAUUCAGCGAGAUCACUAAGUCUGUUGCAAACAGUGUUGGGAGUAACGGCGUUUAAGUAUAAUGGCGUUACUAACGGCGUUAUUUUUUCAGUAAACGUAGUAAUCUAAUUAAUUACUUUUCCCAUCGUUGCAACGCCGUCCGUUACUGAGAAUGUAAAGUGGCGCGUUACUUGCGUUACUACAAUGUGGUUGAAUGAAGCGCAGCGCUGUCAGGCUUUCUGACAGCCACACAUCAGCUGCCGGGAGAGAGCAGGGUGGUGACACCGUGAACACCAACUGCAAACACUCGUCUGUGCAGUGCUCAUUUUGUCUGUGGUGAGUGGAUGUAAAUAUAUUGUUAGCGAGCUAACGCUAGCUGCNNNNNNNNNNNNNNNNNNNNNNNNNNNNNNNNNNNNNNNNNNNNNNNNNNNNNNNNNNNNNNNNNNNNNNNNNNNNNNNNNNNNNNNNNNNNNNNNNNNNAUCAAACAGUGUAACGUUGCUCUUGUGGAGCAGUACCGGCAGUAACACUGAAACCGAGCCAGCUGUGUGUGAUUGACCUUUAUUGGAGCCAAUAAGAUCUGCUGCCACUAGAGGGUCUGAUUAUUAUUGAUUAUUGGCUCAUUGAAUUAUUCCACUACUGUAUCUGGCAGGAACAUAGUGACACUGUCUUUGUUUUUGUUUUCCUUUUGUUGUGAUACAAAUUGUUUAAGUCUCACUAUUCUUCCAAUAAUUGUACAGAUUCUAGACACCAGUGUCAUCUUUAAAACAGCUUUUCCGUCUUUGAUUUUUAAAGACUUUAUUAGAUAUUAAAUGUCACUCCUUCUGUAUUUUUUUUUUUUUUUUUUUUACAAGCAAAUGUUUCUUUUGAGCUUUCAGCUACUUUAGUUACUCAGUGAUCAAGAAAAAUAAGCAAAUGAAAAUUGGGAUUCACAAAUGAUCAUUCCCACUAACUGUUCCUAUUGCAAUUGUAAAAUCUGUUGCGAUCAAUACAAUCAAUAUAAUAUAAUAUAUCAUGAAUAUGCCAUUUAAUGAAUGCAACCUGAUGAUUUAUUCUGUGUUUGAUGGUUGCAGGAGGACUGCUGCUGACACGCUCUGUGGGAACUAUGGAAACUAUAGGCUCUAUUAUUUUAUUAUAUAUCUUAGGCUCUUGUUAUAUUUCUAUUUCCUAUCUGUAACUGAAUCCUAUAAAAAGUUGGUUCCACCUUGACAAAUCUCUUUUAUUCCAUAACCCUCUGCUUCUCAUCCAGAUCAGCCAAGAACCGGCAGACACCGUUGUCCACUUCUUGGCUCAAGGGACUCGAGUGUUUGUGAACUACUAAAGAGUCUUCAGGUAAGUCCACUUUCCAGUCUUAAUGUUGGUGAACAUUCAUAUCAGUACUAGUAACCAUUCAUGAGCGAGACAGAUUUAAAAAAAAGUCUUUAUUUUUCUUUCAGAGAUCCAAAAUGAAAAAUAAAAAAAUACUAAAAAGACUCCACUUGCUUUCUUGUCAAGAGUUAUGAGUUAUAUGUGAACGUUUAUCAGUAAUCAACAAUAAGUUAUUGAACUUCUUUAAUUUUUACAUUUGGUACAACACAGCAGAAUAAGGUUAAAAUAAUAAGGAUAAAAUAUAAAGUAAUAAAAAACAUGUCUUCCAGCUACUUAAGUGUAUAUAUAUAUAUAUAUAUAUAUAUAUAUAUAUAUAUAUAUAUGAAUAGAAAACCCUGGAAUAAAAGGUUGAAAAACUUUACGAAUUAUUAAUUAUUAUUAUAUCCAAAAUAAAUACUGGAGGGCACUCACUAAAUUAUUAACAUGUAUCUUUGCAUAUAAACAUAUUGGUAAUAACGUUUUACUUUAGAAUAAAAAGGAAUUCAUCUGAAUUAACCACAAAAUGAAAGAAUGUAUUAAUGUUGUUGUCCUAUAGUACAUAUACAGUCUUACUGUUGACGUAAACAUCAGUACAACUAUAUCUGGUUUUAGUAUUAAAAGUCCAAAUAUGUCAUUUAGUGUUAGAUAAGUAAAGUGAAUGAAUAGGAGUCGACCAGUCGCAGACCUCAAUGUCACCUUCAGAAACCAAAAUCCAAAUCCAUAACUCUCUGUUCUCUCCCGAGGUUGGUUUCAAUGUGUGCACCGUGGAUUAAAUGAACACAACUCAAAGUUCUGAUGAUUUAUUGCGUUCGAGGGUUGCAGGAGGACGCGGUCCGACACCUGGGGAAGUUACUCUGACAGAAAACAGACAGAUUAUUCUUGUAGAAAUAAAGUUCUCAGUUAAAGCAUUAGUGUCAGCUCAAAGUGUUGCAUGUUGGGGAAAAGCCAGAAACAGUCAAACAGUCAAUCCUCUGAACAAAGUUUAUUUUCCCCCAAAAAACAAAAACAGAUUUUGACUCUGAAAGAAGAAAAACAAUAACAAAUAAUUAGUAAAUAAAGUUUUUUUAAAUUUUUUUUUGUAAAUAAACUAAGUUUGAUCCCUCCACUCUAGAUCAUCAGGUAGCAGCACCUUAUCUCAGUGAGUUACACCUGAGAGUUACAAUCACGAGUUCAUUGUUAUAUUUAUUAUUCACGUUGCUGAAGUAAACGCUUAAAGAUCUCAUAAGAAGUUGUCUGGGACUUGAACCUUCCAACUCAGGUAUCAAUAUAAGCUACUUAUCUCACUGAGCUAUUUGCACAGGUGAGUUUUUUUCUUUCAAAGCACUAAUACCUGUGACCUCCAUGAAUGUGCAGGAACGAUAGACUUUAUUAAUUCUUGAAAUUGGGUCGUCAUAGCAGCCAGGUACAUUGGUAGAAAAGAUAAAAAAGAUAAAGACACCGCAGCAAAGAAGAUGUGUUGUACCUGAUCUCCAUUAUAGUUCAUAUAACCCCAGGGUUGUCUGUCCAGUGUAAAACCUAAAUUAAAUGUAGUAAAAGUAAAUGAAAGAAUUAACAAAAAGAAUCCAAUCAGCAGGAAUAGCUCAGUAAGAUCAGUAGCUGAUGUGGUUGAUACCUGAGGUUGAGGGUUCAAAUCCAAGCUCUUGCAUUUGGUGAUUUUUAAAGGUUUCUCCUCAGUGAUGUGAACAAUAAAUACAACUACGAAGCAGCAAAUUCCCAACCUGAGUUGUAGCUCAGUGCUGUUAAAGGAUGGUCCUAUAGCUCAAUGUGUAAGAUGGAAGCAAGUUCAGAGGUUGUGGGUUCAAACCUUUGACAUUGUGACUUUUGAAAUUCAACACCGAGAAGAAGAAGAAGACUGAAAGCCUCUAAGAAACAAGGAAGAAAUGUCUGUG
rnacentral:lncRNA from 15 species